rnacentral:rRNA from 1 species
UGGGGAAUUGUUCGCAAUGGGCGCAAGCCUGACGACGCAACGCCGCGUGGAGGACGAAGACCUUCGGGUCGUAAACUCCUUUCGAUCGAGACGAAUGGCCUCCGGGUGAACAAUCCGGAGGAGUGACGGUACCGAGAGAAGAAGCCCCGGCUAACUCCGUGCCAGCAGCCGCGGUAAUACGGGGGGGGCAAGCGUUGUUCGGAAUUACUGGGCGUAAAGGGCUCGUAGGUGGCCAACUAAGUCAGACGUGAAAUCCCUCAGCUUAACUGGGGAACUGCGUCUGAUACUGGAUGGCUUGAGAUUGGGAGAGGGAUGCGGAAUUCCAGGUGUAGCGGUGAAAUGCGUAGAUAUCUGGAGGAACACCGGUGGCGAAGGCGGCAUCCUGGACCAACACUGACACUGAGGAGCGAAAGCCAGGGGAGCAAACGGGAUUAGAUACCCGCGUAGUCC